rnacentral:rRNA from 1 species
GACGAACGCUGGCGGCGUGCUUAACACAUGCAAGUCGAACGGUGAAGCGCUUGCCUUUUUGGUGGGUGUGGAUGAGUGGCGAACGGGUGAGUAACACGUGAGUAACCUGCCCUCUUCUUCUGGAUAACCUCAUGAAAGUGGGGCUAAUACGGGGUAUUCCGGGUCUGUCGCAUGGCGGGUUUGGGAAAGAUUGCGCCUUUGGGUGUUUUCGGUGGGGGAUGGGCUCGCGGCCUAUCAGCUUGUUGGUGGGGUGAUGGCCUACCAAGGCGGUGACGGGUAGCCGGCCUGAGAGGGUGGACGGCCACACUGGGACUGAGACACGGCCCAGACUCCUCGGGAGGCAGCAGUGGGGAAUAUUGCACAAUGGGCGCAAGCCUGAUGCAGCGACGCCGCGUGAGGGAUGGAGGCCUUCGGGUUGUGAACCUCUUUCGCCAGUGAAGCAGGCCUGCCUCGUUU